UGCCGGCUCCGCGCUGCGCGGCGCUGGAGCGCGAAGCACAGGACACCCACUGUUUGCCCAACAGCGUCUGUGGGAAUUCAUUAGCGGCUCUCUCCAGCCAGCAACAAGGGCGGUUUUGUCCGGAAUUAAACUACAUCUUAAUAUUAUAAUGCGGCACAAAAAGCAAAACCCGAGGCUCCGGCUUUGGAGUCCCUAACAAGAAACACAUUGUGCACUUUUUUCCCCCCUUUUUUGGCCGAAACCACUUUUGCGCGCCGGCCCCGAUGGAGAGAGCCAAGUUCGUGACUUCAGUGGGGAGGAACCCGCCGACCCCGCACCCACGUGCACGCCUGGGCCUCCGCUGCCCUGGGGCGGCCACCAGGGUCGCGCCGCCAACCGGCGCCCCGCGCACCCGCUUCCGAUAGCCGCGGCCGGGUCGCGCUCCGCUGCUGACACAUUUCCUGCGCAAACAGCGCUGUGUGGACGGCCCUUUCCUGACCCUGGAGACCGGCGCUGCCGAUCGCCUCUGGGCACUGUUUUCGCACCUGAGGCGGCGCCAGCGUGGGGAAUUCGAAUCACCGCCCUCCCAGGCAGCAUGAAAGUACGGCUGUUUAAAAAGAACAUCGCAGCCGCUGACACUUGGCAGCGUCUCCAAAUGGGAUUUUAACGCUCUGAAUCCUGCACGGACUCUGAGUAAUGGGCCACUAGCUGAGGACUGGACUUUGAUGGGGAUCUUUAGAGCCCUGUGACCGCUGCGGGCCACAGAAUUCAGGAACUUAGCGUGCUUUUGGACUUGCUGCUUGCUUACACUGAGUCAGAAGGGGAAUUCAGCAAAAAAGACUCAAGUCUGGAACUUUGACCCCAACUUCCUCAAUGCCUGCACCAAGGAGGGCCGCCUACGUAAGCCUGGCACGGGAUCCGCCUGGGGGUGCCUCUGGCCCGGGCUCUUUGGGCGAGAGGCUGGGAUGUAGAGUGAAUACACGAAUGAGUGAACGGACCUCCGGGCUGAGCUUCUAUUUCAUUGAAGUAGCCUAUUUAAACACUGUCAACAGCAACAACCCAACCGCUACGUCUUCAGGAAAGGAUUGCAUUUAUAGCUCAACUUGGAGGAGAAUUGACAUCUUUAAAGUUUGAAUCUUCCCUUCCAGGAGCAAGGUAUUUUAAUAAGAGAAACUUUAUAAUUUUUCUUAUACAGGCAGUCCCUGGGUUACGAACGAGAUCGCUUCCUAAGCCUGUCUUUAAAUCAAAUUUGUGGGUCAGUCAGAACAGGUACAAACGGUUCUUAUUUAGCAACAGUAAGUCAAAUGUUUGUCUUAGUAUAUAGUAUAUACUUGACCUUUCUAUGCGUAUAAAGCACUUAAGAAACACUUCUAAAUACACUAAAAUAUCUUAAGCAUAAUACAGUACAUCUAAUAUUCUUUCUCUAUCCAAUGAAUUGCUGAAGCUGCACAAUGUUUUUACGAGAGUUGUUAUUAUGAACCAUUGUAUUUAACUCCAAUUUUUAAUACAAUAGGGUUUUUGGCAGUCCACUCUGAAGUACCAGUUGUCCAUGAGUCAGACGUUUGUAACCCGGGGACAAGCAUUUUCUUGUUAAGUUUAUUCCUAUGCAUUAUUUUUCGUAGCUAUUAUGAAUGGGAGCUUUUAUAAUGUUUUAUAAUUGUUACUGUUCUAUAGGAAAGCUAUUGGGUUUUUAUGCUGCUUGGUGGCACAUUGUUUAAAGUGCUGGACUGCUAACCAAAAUGUCUGCAGUUCGAAUCCACCAGCCAUUCGGAGGGAGAAAGAUGUGGCAGUCUGCUUCUGUAAACAUUUAUAGCUUUGAAAACCCUAAGGGGCAGUUCUAUUCUGUCCUAUAGGGUCCCUAUGAGUUGGAAUCGACUUGAUGGCACUGGGUUUGGUUUUGGUUUUUGGUUAUCAUUCUGCCAUCCUACAGAACUUAUCCUACAGAACUCUCAGUUCUAGCAAUAUUUUUUAGAUUAUUUCAUUUUAAACUUUUGGUUAGAAUAUCAUAUUACCUGAAAACAAUGAUUGUUUUUUCUUGCCCAUUCAGAGUUCAUGGAGUUUAUAGGGUGAAGACAUACAAUAAUAUCACUUGUUGAUGUCUCAUAAUUACAUCUGCACUUCUUAGAAGACAAUUUCAGAUGUUGUUGAGUUCUUUUUCGUCCACUUGCUUCUCCCCCUUCUCCUUACCUUUACGUCACCUUCUUUUCCUUCUCCUCUUUCUUCUUAUUCAUUUGAGGGGAGCAGUUAAUUAUGUAAAUAUGUCCUCUAUUCCCAAUUUACAGGGCAAUGAAACCCAUGCCAAGACCUGAGGUGGUUUGGUCACGGUCCCCCAGCUGUUAGAAGCAGGACUGGCCCUGAACCCAGGUCCCCUGACCCCAGCACAGCCCUGCCUGUCACAGCCAGCUGGAUCCUUAUCACCACAGCCUUCUUUUGCUACAUUUUGUUCACUAAUAAAGGUCCCUUAUAUCAAUUGACAGGUACUUUGGUUACCUGUGUGUAGAACAUUGACAAUAAGCCAUAGAGCAAAUGUGGGAUUACUUAAUGACUUUCUCUAGAAACUUCCUAACUGUUUCACAUUCCUCUGUCAUAGCAGCUAUGCAAUCCAAAGAGAAAGGGCUUUGUAGUCUGAAGUAAUUCUGCCAUUUUGUGAAUCAUGACAAGUCCCCUUGGUUAAUUUGUCUGUAAAGGGGAUACUAAUUUUGGCUUCAAAUAGCUUAUGAUUACACGAGGAGAUGAAUAUAAAGCUCCUAGGACAUCGUAGGCUCUCCAUGAGUGGUCAUUCUAUCCACUUCCUUCUCUUCCUCCUUCUACGUCUUCCCUUCCUCUUCACCUCUCCACCACCUCCUUUUCCUUCUUCUUAGUCUUUUAAGUUGAGCAGUGAACCAUAUAAAUGUGUCCUCUAUUCUCCAUUCAGCUCUACUCAUCUCCUUAGUCCCUGAGUUUGAAAACGGUGGAGGGCAAAGUUGACAAAGAUCUCUUGAAAAGGAAAUUCAGAUUAGGUCUAGGGUCACUGCAAGUGAAGAGUCACCAAUGUUCUUUGCGGGUGAAAUUUUGAGUGGAACAGAGCUUAGGUUAAGAGCAAACAUGAACAGCCUCACAUAUAAAGACCAUGCAGCUGCCUGGGGGCUCACUGGCUGUGCCAGUUUGCCUUGAAUUCCCCUGUGUUUGGCUCUGGGUGUUAUUACCCAUUUCACAGAUACUUUCUGUGUGAUUCACCUGUGAUAACUCCACAUCUCUUUGCAAAAGACUCUGAAUGUCUAAGGUUAAAAUGGUCAACAUCUUAUCCUCUGCUGCCUGCCUUCCCUGUGGCACCAGUCUCUGGGACACUUACCUUGCAGGGGGUAUUUCACUGACAAAACCCUACGUAAGGGUGCUCGACUAUCUGACCAGUGUCCAUUGCCAUGGCCCUACUGGUCGGAGAUGGCCGCCCCACUUGAGUGUGAGCUUUCAUCCAGCUUCCUCCCAAAUCCAGCAUGUUAGAGCUGAGUACUGUGCUCAGGGCCAUGAAGGGGGACUGUGAGAGGCUGAUGGACUGAAUCCGUGGGUGUCUAUCUAGUUUGCCCCUCCUGUCAUAUGCCAGCUGGGGAGAUGCCAUCACAUGGUUUGCUUACAUUGGAGGGUGAUGGCUGUGAAUCACCCAGGGCAGCUAGAGAAGAAACAUGAAGUCAUAAACCGUACACCCUCCACCUCCCAUCUUCUCCCAGCCUGGGGGCUGGGCUGGGAACUGAAAGGGGAAGAGGUCAGGGCCUAUUGCUGGGGCCUCUUUCUCCCUACACUAGUUACUGACAGAAGAGGUGAGAACCAGAACUGCCUGUUGCUGAACUUUUCUAGAAUCCUGGACAUGCUGUCAACUGAACGAGGGGCCCACACAUUGCCAACUCUGAAAGGUGGGAAAGCCAGCCAGUCCUGAGGGCUUUCUUACAGAAGUUCAAGGCCAUGGGUUACAGCCCCUUUACAGACAUGAACAAAACCCUAAUAAUAACUGCCUCUUAAGUAUGUGCCUAGAGCUUACUUAGUCCUCACAACAAUCUUAUGAGGUAGAUGCUUUUAUUAUCUCUCUAUUCCACAGCAGAGGAAACUAAGGCUGAGAGAAAUGAAAUAACUAGGUCACACAGCUAAUAAGUAAGAGAGCCAGGAUUUGAACUCAAGCAACCUGGCUUCAGAAUCCUUGACUUUACCUACCUCAUUAUUCUGCCGCUAUUCAGAGAAAAACCACAAUAAGGAUGAAGAAAACAUCAUACUGACCUUUUAGAAUGUUAUUAAAUGAAAAACAAAUUAUCAAAACAGUUUCACUAAUUUUCAAUUCUAUGAAAGAUUGUAACAUAUAUUUCUUUUAAAACCAUGAUUGAUUCAUUUGAAGCAGUAACAAAAAUGUUUAUGAGUUCUGUGAAAGCAGUUUUUUCAUUGCUUUAAGUAGGCUUGCUUCUGAAAUAUAAAUUAAUCCCUGUUUUUCACUUGGCUGGACCUCACUGGUUAUUUUCAAGGGGCUAAGUUUCUGCAUAUAGGCUUUUACUUGCAUUGUUGGGGUUUAUACUCAGUACUACUGGGGUGGCCCAUUUAUACUGACGGGGCGGCCCAUAUGUGCAGGUGGCAUUACUGACCAGAAACUCCAUCCAUUCCCCAUGUGUCCUGGCCUCUAUUCCACCCUGUGAACAUUUACUCUGGCUUUUAUGCACCUUGCACUGUACCAAUCACCAGAAGAGGGUAUUGACCACUUCUGAUCAUUUCUAAGCUAGAUAGUUCAUGUUUUACAGGUCAGUUGAAAAAUAGUCAGACUUCUUACCUUAUACAUAGCCCUCAUGAGCAUGUUCAAAUUAAUUGCUAUUUCCUGGUUAAUAAUUCUUUGCAGGGAACACUGUCAUAGAGAUCUCCUUUCUGCCUUGCCCUGACAUGUAAGAUCCUCAGAGCUUUCCAUAAGAUGUCAGUCUAUUGGAGCUGAGAGGGACUUCCCAGCUCAGGAGUCCAACCCCUUCACUUUACAGCAGUGGUUUUCAAAGAGUGAUCUGUGGAUGCCUGGGGGUCUGCAAAGUCAAAACUGUUUUUUUAAAAAUACUAAGAUUCUAUUUGAUUUUUUCACUAUGUUGACGAUGGUACAAAAGCAAUGGUUGGUAAACCGAUGACAUCUUAACAUGAAUCAAGGCAGUGAUACCAAACUGCUCUAGUAGUCAUCGUACAUGAUAGCUAACUGACUUGAAUGUAACUGAGUAUUAAACAAUUAAUUGGCAUGGUUUCAGAUUCCACAUUGCAACUAACCUUUAAGGAACUAUCACUUGUUGAGUUUUGGUUUAGUAUUGAAGAAGAAUACCCACAAUUGUCUGUAAAGACCAUUAGAAAAUUGUCUUCUCUUUUCCAACUACUUGUCUGUUUGAGGGUGAAUUCUUUUCAUAUAAUUCAAAUAAAAUAACAUAAUGUCACAGGCUGAAUGCAGAAGCAAAUAUGAGAAUCCAGUUGUCUUAUAGUAAGUCAUACGUAGCUUUGCAGAAGUAUAAACUAAAGCCAUUUUUCUCACUAUUAUUCUUCUUUUGGAAAAUACAGUUAAUUUUCUUAAAAUAUGAACUUUAUGUUAAUAGUUAAUGUGAUGGUUAAUGCUAUGUGUCAACUUGGCUACACAGUGAUUCUCAGUGGUCUAGCAAAUGCUAUGUAAUUGUCCUCUAUUUUGUGAUCUGAUGUGAGCAACCAAUCGGCUGGAAGGGGAGUUUCCUUCGGCGUGUAUUCAGUAUAUGAAUGGAUGUUCUGGCAAAGCUCUGUCUCUCUCGAUCUUGCAUUCAUCUCAUUGUUAGCUGACCUCCUAGCUCUUGAGUCAUGAGAAUCCUUCAGCCUGCUGCCUGGCCUGCAGAUUUUGGGUUUGUCAGUAUCUACACCACAUGAGUCAGGAGAAGGCUUCAAUCUGCUGCCUGACCCACAGAUCUGGGACUUGCCAGCCUCCACAAUUGUGUGAGCCAUUUCCUUGAAGUGAAUCUCUAUCUCUCUAUUUUUACAUAUACACGUCACCGGUUUUGAUCCUUUAGAGAAUCCAGCCUAAAGCAGUUAAUGUGUUUAUUUUUAUUAUUUUGAUAUAAAUUGAUAUUUAUAUUAAGGUUUCUUAGUUUUAAUUUCUAAUACAGUAAAUAUCAUUAGAUAUACCAAACUAAACUCAUUGCUGUCAAUUCCAACUCAUAGCAACCUUGUAGGACAGAGUAGAACUGCCUCAUAGGGUUUCCAAGGAGUAGUUGGCAGAUUUGAACUGCCAAUCUUUUAGUUAGCACCUGAGCUCUUAACCACUGCGCUAUCAUGGCUCCGUUAUUAGAUAUAACUCACAUAAACAAAAGCUUAUUAGAUCCUUGUUAUGGAUUGAAUUGUGUCCUCCCAAAAAACAUGUGUCAACUUGGCUAGGCCAUGAUUCCCAGUAUUGUGUGACUGUCCACCAUUUUAUCUUCUGAUGUGAUUUUCCUACGUAUUGUAAACCCUACUUCUAUGUUAAUGAGGUGGGAUUAGUGGCAGUUAUGUCAAUGAGGCAGAACUGAAUCUACAAGAUUGGGUUGUAUCUUGAGUAAAUCUCUUUUGAGAUAUAAAAGGAAGAAGCGAGCAGAGAAACUGGGGAACUUCAUACCACCAAGAAAGAAGCCCUGGAAGCAUAGAACAUCCUUUGGACCCAGGGUCCCUGCACUGAGAAGCUUCUCAAUCAGGGGAAGAUUGAUGACAAGGACCUUUCUCCAGAGCGGAUAGAGAAAGAAAGCCUUCCUGGAGCUGGUGACUGAAUUCAGACUUUUAGCCUACUAGACUGUGAAAGAAUAAAUUUCUCUUUGUUAAAACCAUCCACUUGUGGUAUUUCUAUUACAGCAGCGCUAAGAUGACUAAGACAAUGCUCAAUAAUUUUUUUGAAUGUAAAGUAGUCCUGAGUCCAAAAAGUCUGAGAUAAGCUGCUUUUCAGAAUCUUACUUUAAAAUAGUUAAGAAACUUCUUUAAAGGCACCUAGCUGGAUGAAGAUCCUGCCAGGAGUAAAGGCAUGUCUCAACAUACUCUUACCUGUCAGCUUUUACCCGAUCCCACUUCUGCCUUUUAUGCAAAUGGCCUAGAUGUGUGUGUCAGGUGUGACUCUGAGACCACUGGGCAUGUCUCCUCUUUGGCAUGUUAUUUAAAGACAAAAUUUAAUGUGGGCAUCAGUAUUAUUUCUGAACAUGUGUGAAAAGAGAACAUCAAAAUAUAUAUUUCAACAGUAAAGACGCAGUGAGUAAUAUAGGUGUCCGCUAAUGGGGACCCAAAGCAGGAAGCAUUGUCAGGAAGAACUGGAGUUCAUGUUGACAUAAGAAGGUUUUGUGGGAUGGAGAUGCUCCUGUUGUCCACCACAGGCCUGCUUAACAUCUGCGUCUAUUAUCUGGCAGAUACAAAGAUACUUCUUUGUAUCAAAUUGGAAGUGUUGGCAAAUGGAGACUCAGCCACACAUCUUCAAUGUGCUCUUCAGCUAAUUGCCUGAAGGUUUUGUUGUCACUAUUGCUGUCUCUCCAUGCUUUUAACUGAAUUUAUAUUCUUAGAUUUUAAGUGGAAAGAUAUCUUUGUAUUUCUGAGUGCUAAAGAAAUAGAGUAAAGCAUCUUUGGGUUUUUUUUUUCCCCCUACAGGAAAGUCCUAUUAAUGAACAAUUUUCAUUUUCUUCAUCAUGCCUAACAAGGUUUACCUUUUGUCCCAAGCCCUGCUCUGAAUACAGAGAUGAACCAGGCACAACCCUGCCAUUAAAGUACUCACAGAGUCUAUUUGGGAAAUAGACCAAUAACUGCACAAGGGAUCAGGUGGAAAGCUCCCAGUAAGUGCAGUGAUUGUAAGCAUAGUAGGAGUUUAGUGAAGAAAGCUAUCACCCUGACCAGUGGUAUGAAGUGACUAGGGAGAAAGGACUAGUGGAGUGAGACUUGCAGGCUGGACAGAGCAUUUUUUUUUUUUUUAAUUUUUUAAUUGUGCUUUAAGUGAAAAUUUACAAUUCAAAUCAGUUUCUCAUACAAAAACUUAUAAACACAUUGUUAUGUGACCCUAGUUGCCCCCGCUACAAUGUGACAGCACACUCCUCCUCUCCACCCUGUAUUAUUUCCUGUGUCCAUUCAACCAGCUCCUGUCCCCUUCUGCCUUCUCAUCUUGCCUCCAGACAGGAGCUGCCCACUUAGUCUCAUGUGUCCACUGGAGCUAAGAAGCACACUCCUCACCAGUAUCGUUUUAUGUCUUACAGUCCAGUGUAAUCUUUAUCUGGAGAGUUGGCUUCUGGAAUGAUUUUAGUUUUGGGCUAACAGAGAGUCUGGGGGUCAUACGCAGAGCAGUUCUUAAACCAUAGUGGCAGAUGUUCUGAUGGAAGGACAUUGAGACCAUCCCCCAGAAGAACAGGAACUCUAAAUCCAGGGUGACCCACAGGAAGUAACCACGUAGUGAAGAUAAAAGCAGGGAUACAGGUAUAGGGAGAGGAACUCAGAUAAUUUGUUUUGAGUAGUUCACUUGCUGCAAUGAGUCUUUUCAUCUAAUUGACCCUGUCGAGCACAUAUGGACUCUUACCAAAGCUAGCCUGGGAGAGUUGAAAUUGUCUGGAGAGUUUCAUAGAGAAAGUACAGCAUGAACUUGACCUUGCAGGGUGAGCAGAAUGGGAGUAGGAAGAUGCAAACCAUGUGGGUUAGCUUCACUAGAGUGUAGGAAUUAUGUGGGUGGCAGGUUUGGGCUACAAGAUAGAAGGUCUUGAAGGCUAGCCUCAACUUUAGGCCUUGCCCUUUGGCCAUGGGGACCCACAGAUGGACCCACGGAGCAGCAACUGGAUGAGUUGGAACUCUCAGAAGAUGACAUUGACAGAGAUGCCUGGAAAGGACUGAAGGGGAGAACCGUACCACCAGGGAGUGAUUAGGAUACUUCAUUAUAGGCAGUGGGAAAGAAAAGGAAAAGACAAAAAAAAUUAACACUUUAGAGGAGUUAAGCCAAAAAAACCAAACCCAGUGCCGUCGAUUCCGAUUCAUAGACACCCUAUAGGACAGGGUAGAACUGCCCCAUAGAGUUUCAAAGGAGCACCUGUUGGAUUUGAACUGCUGGCCCUUUGGUUAGCAGCCAUAGCACUUAACCACUACACCACCAGGGUUUCCUUAGAGGAGUUAGAGGAGUUAGAGACUGACAAAUCAUUUGGUCAGGGAGUGGGAGGAGUCAGUGACGACGCCAAGUUUUCAGGCUGACGCCAGUGAGAUGCAAAUAUACUUGUAUUUCUUUACAUAGCUGAAUGUGCAGAUGAUCUUUCAGAAGUGCUCAUCUUAUUUGGCACUUAGUUCCUGGGAAGAACAGGAGGAAGAACUCUCUCAUGCUGGAAAUCAAGUUUGAUCUCACUCUGAGGCUAUUAUUAUUACUCGAGAAAACAAUUAAGAUCCCUGGGGUGGGGAAUCAAACUAAAAGAUAAUGAGCUCAUCUCUUGUUGUUUGUGGACUCUUGUCUCCUCCACCGCCCAGUGUGUUAGGCAGCCUCUGAAAUGGCCCCCAGAGAUCCCCACCUUUGGUGUUGGUAUUCACGCCCUUGAGUAAUCCCUUCUCCUUGAGUGUGGGCUGGACCUGGUGACUUGCUUCUCAUGAAUAGAAUAUGACAAAUGUGAUGAGAUGUCACUCCCAUGACUUCUGUCUUGCUCACUCUUUCACUCGCUUGCUCUGAAGGAAGCCAGCCGCCAUGUUAUGAACUGUCCUGUAGAGAAGUUCAUAUGCAAGGACUUGAGGUCUCCAGCCAACAGUCAGUGAGGACCCGAGGCAUUUCAACAGCCACAUGGGUGAGCUUCAAAGCAAAUCCUCCCCUAUUCAAAUCUUGAGAUGAUGGCAGUCCUGGAUGUCACCUUGAUUGCAGCCUGUGAGAGACCCUGAGCCAGGGGAGCCAGCUAAGCCAUGCCCUGAAUCCUGACCCACAAAAACUGACAUAAUAAAUAUAUGUCAUAUUAGGCUGUUAAAUUUGGGGGAAUUUGUUACACAGCUGUAGAUAUCUAAUAUACUCAAACUCUCUGAGUGGUGUCUAAGAGUACAUGCCCUGAAGCCAGACUGCAGGUGUUCAAAUCCUGGCUCUGACACUUACAAGCUAUACAACCUUACACAAUUAUUUAAUUCUAUGUGCCUUAGUCCCUUCAUCUGUAAGAUGGGAAUAACACCUAUCUCAUAGGGUGAUUGUGAGAAUAAAAUGAGAGAGUAUCUGUACAUUGCUUAGAAUAGCAGUGUUAGAACUCAACAAGUAUUAGCUACCAUCUUUAUUCCUGUGUCCCUGGGUGGCACAAAUUGUUUGCGAUUGACCACUGUCUUAGUUUCUUCGUGCUGCUGUAACAAAAAUACCAAAAGUGGGGGACCUUAACAAACAGAGAUUUAUUUUCUCACAGUUAAAAAACCAAAAACCAAACCCACUGCUGUCGAGUCGAUUCCGACUCAUAGUGACCCUAAGGGACAGAGUAGAACUACCCCAUAGAGUCUCCAAGCAGCGCCUGGUAAAUUCGAACUGCUGACAUUUUGGUUAGCAGCUGUAGCUCUUAACCACUAUACCACCUGGGUUUCCAAACAGCUUUUUCAAAAACCUACAGCUAGAAACUUCCCAUUCAUUUAUUCAACACUGAGCAUCCACUGUAUAAUGGGAACCCUACUAGGCAUGGGGAAUUGAACAAACUAGAUGGGGUGCCUGUCCUCAUGGCUGUUACCAUGUAGAGAGGUGGUUCUCAACUGCGAUGGCACAGCCUUCUAAGCUAGUGUGGAAAUGUCUGAGGAUUGCUACUGGCAUUUAGUUGUCAGGGGCCACAAACACUCCUGCAGUUCAUGGGCAGCACCUCGUAGUAAAGAAUUACCUGCUCAAAAUGCCAAUCAACAAGCCCGUAGGAAAUGACUAGUCUAGUGGGUGAUUUAAACGUUAAUCAAAUAACCACACAAAUAAGUGAAUAAUUAUGAACUGUAUUAACUGCUAUGAAGAAAAUGGCACAGGAAGCUCAGGGGGGAAUAAUGCAGGAUCUGUCUGGGAUGGGGGCGAGUCGUAGAGGAAGAAGAAAGUCUUCCUUGGAAGCAAAGAUUGGGCUGAAAUUUGAAGCAUGGGCAGUGUGCGCUGGGUUGAAGGGGUGUGUGCGUGUUGAGGGGGGGUGUGUGCAAUGGUGAGGGUGGUAGUGCUGGUGGUGGAAAUAAGAUAAAGAUUGUUCCAGAGAGAGAAAAUAAGAUUCCCCAAAACCCUGGGAAGGAGGCAUAUAAUGGUAUAUGAGGAUGGAGAAAAGGCCAGUAUAUUUGAGGGGGAGGGGGGUGAGAAAAGGUGGGAAGGUGGAUAAGAGGAAUUGGAAGAAAUAGGCUGGAGCCAGUCAUGCAGACCCUAAGGAGCUGUGUUAGUGUUUCUGGUCUAUUCCAGGGAUUGUCAGCAUGAAGGGACCUAACUGCUUAUGUGCUUUGGAAAUGUCACCCUGGGUGAAGAGUGGAGAACAGAUUAGAGUGGGUAGGAGAAGAGGUGGAGAGACCAGUUAGGUGGCUAUAGCCCUGGUAUGGAAAGACUAAGGGAAUAGGGAUAAAGAUAGAAGAAAAUGAAGUCAAUGGAUUUGAUAGAUGUUAGAAGGAAAACGGGACUAGGAGAUGGAUUAGAUCUUUGGGGUAAGAGAGGAGAAGGUGUCAAAGGUAACUAGAAUGGUGGUGGCCAUUCAGUAAAUUAGAGAAUCUGGAAGCAGAGUAGGUCUGGGAGAGGAGCAUCUUGAGUUUGAUUUUGAAAAAGUCGACUCUGAGGUGCUUCUGAGAUAUCCAAAGGGGCUUGAGGACUGCAGGUUUUUGGUUGUGGAGAUAUGGAGGGCAGAGGAAAGGUUUGGACUGGAAGUAAAAUUCGGAAGAUACUGGUAUAGGUAAGGAAACCCUGGCAGCAUAGUGGUUAAGAGCUAUGGCUGCUAACCAAAAGGUCGGCAGUUCGAAUCCACCAGGCACUCCUUGGAAACCCUAGGGGGCAGUUCUACUCUGUCCUUUAGGGUCACUAUGAGUCAGAAUUGACUUGACAGCAACGAGUGUUUUUGGUUUUCAGCGUAGGUGAUGGAGUCCCUGGGUGAUGCAAAUGGUUAAUGCGCUUGGCUGCUAACUGAAAGGCUGAAGGUUCGAGUCCACCCAGAGGCUCCUUAGAAGAAAAGCCUGUGACCUACUUCUGAAAAAUCAGCCACUGAAAACCCUGUGGAUCGCAGUUCUACUCUGACAUACAUGGGGUUGCUAUGAGUCGGAGUCCACUUGACCGCAACUGAUAUGUGUGUUAUAUAGCAAUGGAGGCCACUGGAGUGGAUGAGCUUGCUAGAAAGAGAAAGCUCGACAAGAGAAACCAUGACCUGGUCAAGACUUGAGGAACUUUGAUUUUAAUGGCCAAGCAGAGGAGGAUGGUUCAGUCAGCCAGAGGAAGAGAAGCAGAGAGGAGAGGAGAAGCGGGAGAUGGUGUUGCCUCAGAAGCUGAGGGACACAUAUAUUUCAAAAGUUGGAAGUGGUCAGAAGGGUCAAAUGGAGCUGGAAAGUUGGAUAAGGAAACUGAGGCUCAGGAAGAUGGACUGCCUUGCCCCUGGACACACCAAUCCUGAGAGGACCAUCUGCUACCGGCCCCAGCCCAGAUGAUACAGUUAGAGCCUGCCCACAGCAUCCUCUCCCUCCUUCAGACAGUUCCAGGAACAAGGGAUUCCCAGGCAUUUACGGACCUCAUUUGGGACUCUUUUCAAGUCCAGUAUCAACCUACGGAAGCCAAAAUAACCCCUCACCUGGUCAACUCAAGUGAGGUAACAGGGAUCUAGAUUAGCAGAGGAAAUCCUCAGGCACACAGAGGAUCUCUGAAGAACUGCUGACAGAAAACCUCCCUAAUAUCAUGAAAGAUGAAAACCUAACCAUCCAAGAAGCUCAGUGAACCCCACUGGGGACAGACCCCAAAAGAAAAUCACCAAGGCAUAUCAUAAUCACACUCGCUAAAGCAAAAGACAAAGAGGGAAGCACACUCACUAAAACCAAAGACAAAGAAGAGCAGCAUGAGAGAAACAAAAAGUCACAUACAGAGGAGAAACACUAAGGCUAAGCUCUGAUUACGCAGCAGAAACCAUGCAGGAGGUAACAUGGACCUAGAUUGGCAGAGGAAAUCCUCAGGCACAGAACCAGCACCCCAAAGAUACUCAACAAAGAUGCUUAGCAAAGGUACUCAACAAUUCAGUUGUUGAUCAAGUGGAAGGAUGGUCUCUGAUAAACUUGUUCUUAAUUGAGGAGCUACCUGUCUACUUCUCCAUGGAGUUGUGCUAGGUGGCUUCUUUCUAAAAUCACACUUAAUUUUUGUUCAGCUUUCUUCAGAUUCCAUUUGGUUGGUUCCAUAUGCAGGCACCUCUGAUCUAUUUACUGUCCUUUUUGAUGGGUUAGGGAGUAGGCUCCAUUCAGGGCAUGCCAGAGGCUUCACUCAGUUCUUCCCAUCUUGUUGCUCUAGCGUCACAUAGCCUGGCUGCUGAUUACACACUCAUUCAAUUAAUAUGUUCAAGUAACUGCUUACUCUGGAGUAAGCACUUGCCAGUUCUGUGGAUAUAAUGGUGAUUUCAUAGCUUACUAGCAGGGAAACAAGAAACUAUUACCCUAGUUGUGGGAAAAAAAAGAGCCCCCAAAAUCUAGGUGCUUGGCAUAAGGAGAGGCUUCUGCCCAAGCUGUAGGCUGGGCUCUGUUUUGUUGUUUACUGCUCAGUCGAGUAACUUUUGUGAAUCCUCAGGAAGUGCUGCCCGAUCUGAAUCGCUCUAUUCCUUCAAUAAAACUCUUUGCUUUAAUUUUAACAGAGACUCCAGCUUGCUCUUGGGUAAUUUCAUGAGCAGU